GAUGAACGCUGGCGGCGUGCCUAAUACAUGCAAGUCGAGCGAACAGACGAGGAGCUUGCUCCUCUGACGUUAGCGGCGGACGGGUGAGUAACACGUGGAUAACCUACCUAUAAGACUGGGAUAACUUCGGGAAACCGGAGCUAAUACCGGAUAAUAUAUUGAACCGCAUGGUUCAAUAGUGAAAGACGGUUUUGCUGUCACUUAUAGAUGGAUCCGCGCCGCAUUAGCUAGUUGGUAAGGUAACGGCUUACCAAGGCAACGAUGCGUAGCCGACCUGAGAGAGUGAUCGGCCACCCUGGAACUGGGACACGGACCAGAGUCCUACGGGAGGCAGCAGUAGGGAAUCGUCCGCAAUAGGCGAGAGCCUGACGGAGCAACGGCGCGUGAGUGAUGACGGUCUUCGGAUCGUAAAACUCUGUUAUUAGGGAAGAACAAAUGUGUAAGUAACUAUGCACGUCUUGACGGUACCUAGUCAGAAAGCCACGGCUAACUACGUG
rnacentral:rRNA from 1 species